GAUGAACGCUGGCGGCGUGCCUAAUACAUGCGAGUCGAGCGAACAGACGAGGAGCUUGCUCCUCUGACGUUAGCGGCGGACGGGUGAGUAACACGUGGAUAACCUACCUAUAAGACUGGGAUAACUUCGGGAAACCGGAGCUAAUACCGGAUAAUAUAUUGAACCGCAUGGUUCAAUAGUGAAAGACGGUUUUGCUGUCACUUAUAGAUGGAUCCGCGCCGCAUUAGCUAGUUGGUAAGGUAACGGCUUACCAAGGCAACGAUGCGUAGCCGACCUGAGAGGGUGAGCGGCCACACUGGAACUGAGACACGGUCCAGACUCCUACGGGAGGCAGCAGUAGGGAAUCUUCCGCAAUGGGCGAAAGCUUGACGGAGCAACGCCGCGUGAGUGAUGAAGGUCUUCGGAUCGUAAAACUCUGUUAUUAGGGAAGAACAAAUGUGUAAGUAACUAUGCACGUCUUGACGGUACCUAAUCAGAAAGCCACGGCUAACUACGUG
rnacentral:rRNA from 1 species